UACGGGGGGGGGCAAGCGUUGUUCGGAAUUACUGGGCGUAAAGAGCUCGUAGGCGGUUUGGUAAGUCGGAUGUGAAAUCUCCAGGCUCAACUUGGAGGGGUCAUUCGAUACUGCCAUGACUAGAGUUCGGUAGGGGAGUGUGGAAUUCCUGGUGUAGCGGUGAAAUGCGCAGAUAUCAGGAGGAACACCAGUGGCGAAGGCGGUGGUCUGGGCCGGAACUGACGCUGAGGAGCGAAAGCGUGGGGAGCGAACAGG
rnacentral:rRNA from 1 species